rnacentral:rRNA from 1 species
UGGUGGUACUAGCGCAGUGGAACCACCUGAUUCCAUGCCGAACUCAGAAGUGAAACGCUGUAGUGCCGAUGGUAGUGUGGAGGUAUCUCCAUGUGAGAGUAGGGAACUGCCAGGCA